UACGUAGGGGGCGAGCGUUGUCCGGAGUUACUGGGCGUAAAGCGCACGCAGGCGGUGCUGCGCGUUUGGGGUUACAGCUCCCGGCUCAACCGGGAGAGCGCCUCGAAGACGGCAGCACUUGAGGGCCAGAGAGGGACACGGAACUCCGGGUGGAGUGGUGAAAUGCGUAGAUAUCCGGAAGAACACCAAAGGCGAAGGCAGUGUCCUGGCUGGUACCUGACGC
rnacentral:rRNA from 1 species